AUUUCUUCAAAGUUUUAAAGCUCACGAAGCAUGAGUAUCUGAAGGCGGUGGGUGGUGAGCGACUAGCAGAGACAACUGUUUCUCUGUAACCCCCAAACUUCCUCUGGCUGUCAAAGUCACGGGCUUACCUAAUGAUCUCCACAGCUCCGUGCUAGUCUGAAACUUUGAUCUUCGUUGCUGUCUGCUGGCUUAAGGCUUACACCUUUGCUCUUAAUAAAAGAAAAGAGAGCUACUUAACUAAAUCUCCUCACCAUUAAAAACAAUUGCUUUUACAAUCACUUUCAAGUCCCCCUCAGAGAAAGCUGCUACAAAAAAUAUCUACUUUGAUGUGUUGUGGGGCUUAAUCAGACUUUCUAGAGUCAACAAACUGGAAGAGAAAAAUCCAAUAAAAUACUUUGAAAAAAAAUUGUGAGUCGGUUUGAUAGAGUCUGAGUAGCAUGUUUGUGCACUUGGAGAUCUGCCAGUAUUAAAUAGAAUCCAGUUGGUAUGGACUGAAGGAUUCCUGGCAGCAAAUCAGGACAGAAAAUCUGACCAAAUGAUGUCUGCUCGAGUCAGUGACAACUAAAGUCUGUUCCCUGGCUG
rnacentral:lncRNA from 1 species